UACCCUAAUUUCACAAAUAAACACAAACACAGAAAGGAAAGAAAGGGAACAGGGGGAGCUCGAGGGGGGAAACGGAGAACAGGGAGAGAGUGUGAUGGAACAGAGUAAGAAGAGAGGAAGGAGGAUCGCUAUUGUCUCUGGUAGGUUGUCACUGACGUUGAACAGAACAGGGGAGAGGAGCGCGAAUUUGAAAGCGAAAAGGGAGCUCUGUUAUGGGCUCGUUGCCAGGAAAAGAAGAGGCGAUGUUGGUGGGGAUCGCCGCUGGUGUCGUCGCCGUGACUGGGGUUCGUGGUCGCUACUGCUGUUGGUGACGGACUAGGUCGCGUCCUAGCUGCCGGAGCCGCCAUCACCGUGGCUUUGUUACUUUGGGUCAACCAUGUCUCUGCCUUUGAUGUACCUUGUCGUGCCAUAUCCGUUGGAGCUGCCGUGGUUGGAGCUGGCUAUCAGAGAAAACAAUUUGCUGCCACCAUCUUUCAAUCUGGCCAGCAUCAUCCUCUUUGUUCCAGUCCCAAUGCCAAUUUUCUGUUUCUUAAACCUUUGUCAAUUUAUCUCCUGAGAAAUCACAAUUGGUGUUGAGGUCGUUGAUGCUGCUGCUGUUAUGCUGUAGCUAGCUGCAAGAGUUUUACUGCUGCGGGUUAGAAAUUGAUGGUUGCUGCAUCCCAAAAUUCUGUGGAUUUCGAUAAAUCGAGUGACACAGGUUUGAAGACGCAAUUUGAAGCUGCGAGCGAUUAGUAGGUUUUCUUUAUGAUUUUAAUUGCUUUCAUAGAAUCCCCUCGCUCUUGUCCUUUGAGGUUUUAUUUUAACAGAGGGGUAGGUGUUGUAGUUGGGUUUGUAUGACUUCUUAUGUAUAAGAGUUACUAUUAAUAAUACUUAUAUGAUUGUUAUUAUUAUUUGCAAUGGUUAUCCUUGAUACAUGUCUUUAAUGAAUAAAAACAAAAUUUUCCGGAAUUUUCUUAAAACUAAACUGCGAACUCGAUAUAAAGGCUCAGUAAUUAAGUAGUUAAUAUUAGAAAAGGUCACGUAACGUUCUUUCUAGUAGAAAUACCCUGACUUAAGCAAGGUAUUUUGCUGGAAGGGAUGUUACAAUAUGGUAUCAGAGCAGUCCUUCCUGUAGAGCCUUGGGAGUGGACUGACUAUGCUUCAUUGCAUACUCUGAGUGUCUGUCAUGCUUUCUAACUUGUUCUGAUGACAAGAUUUUAUGUUUUAUAUGCAUGACUGUCUAGUGAUUAACGCUAUUAGUUUACCAUUGCAUACCUCAUGGUAUCAAGUUUGGCCAACUUAAUACUAAUGAUUUAUGUAUAUGGAAAUACUAAUGGGUUAUCAUAGACGAAAUAGAAGUGAUAGGUUAACACGAAUUACGAGGUUUUGGGGACGUUAGAAACUAAAUUCUAGAAAUUAGUUCCGUUUCGACGUAUGCUCUCUAUUCGUGCUUAGUGUUAUCUCUUCUCUACUAUUUGUAUUGGAAUUUCUAGUUUCUGAUCUCUUUCUCGCUAAUCUUGUAUUAUCAUUUGUGCAUGUCCUUGCUUGACUCUGUAUCUGGUUGUUGUUUGAAUCUUUUGAAACAUUUAUCCUUACCUUACAAACUCUAAGCUUCUAGUUCUGAACUCGGAUUUAUUUCGGUGCAACAUACUAUUUCUUGUAAUUUUCUUCUUGAGCAUUUAUUUCAGAUUCUCUUCGAGAAAAAUUUCAAUUCAAAUCUUUCUUAUUUGACUGUAUCCACAACCCUUACUUAAAUUUUGAUGGGAUUGUUUUAAUUCAGCCUAGACUUUCUUACAUAAACUCUGAAGCUUCUUUAUGUAGUUUAAUUUUGUUUAAUUGUGAUAUACCACUUAUCUUUUAUUGAUUUAUAGAAAAAUUUAUUUCAGAAUAUAUUCCUUAAAUAGAAGCUGAUUUUCUUCCAACUUUAUUAUUCUUAUAGCUAUUCUUACCUAAUUACGUACUUAAGUAUCCUCCAAGAUUUUUAAAGAAAACAUUUUUGCCCUUAACAUCAAACAAGCUUUAGUUUACAAACCAUGCAUGAUUUGUUUUGAUUUGAAAUUAAAUCAGUAUAACAUAUUGUUUAUACUUAGUUUAGUACUUUGAAAAAAAAAUGUUAGAUUUAUAUAUAUUCUUUUGGAAAAAGACAAACUAAUUCCCUCUAUUUCAAAAUGAAGUUGUUCAAAAUUGUUGUACUAUUUUCCCUAAUGAUGUUCAUAUUGAAAUUGUUUGAUUUAAAAUUUCUUCCUAAGCUUCGAAUUAACUCCCUUUAUGCUACAUUUUGUUGCUUAUAUAUAUAUUCUUGUUGUUUGGUAAUCUCACGUAUUCCUUCAAAUCCUUGCGAAAUACCAUCUUUGUCCAACUGUGCACUUGAGUAUUCUUCCAAAUUCUCGCAUAAAACUUUCGUGCCGUUUGUCUUUCUCUUUUCAUAUUUCGUAUUCCUUAUAUGCGCUAGUUCUUAAGGUCGCGAUUUGUGCAUACGGAAAGUGAAUCUGGUUAGUCUAUGAAGUUAUAAGGAGUUAUGGAGUUUUGAGGCGACGAGAAGAAGUGAUCAUGCUUUGUUAAAAGCUGUGAACGAAUAUGUGCCUAUUUGAUUUUGGAUUUUAAAAAAUUUUCUUAUGUUUAAGUUAUUUUAUCAACUCUAGCAUUAUGUAGUAUAUUUUCUUCUAUGUUUAUGUGAUAUGAUUUUCUUGGAGCCUUUAAAAUAUUCAAAAGGGGAUGUGAAUAUAAAUUUUUUUCUUCAUUUUAUAUCAAUUUUC